rnacentral:lncRNA from 12 species
AAGGUACUCACAAGGUAGUAACAUCUAGUCUACUUUCUCUUCUUUUACAGUAGAAAUGACAUAAAGUGAUGUAAUUUCCUGCCAGAGAUCUGAAGUUUCAAACACGGUGUAUCAUUUGAGAAGUAUAACUAAAACUAUUCAAAUAAUGCAAAACAAGGUUAUCACCUCAAUUUCACAAAUGUUCUUCAUGGAAGCCUAGGAAGUAAACCUGGGUCAUGGAGGACAUGGUUCCAAUGCUCAGUUUCUUUUGAAAAAUUUUCAUCCAAACAUGAAUUCACAGAGCAAGCUACAAUGUUGCUGGUGUCACAGAGCCAAAUCUCUAUACCUAAAAAAAGAAACAAGAAAAAAAAAAAAGAAAAGAAAACAAGUGAAGAUGUUUUAUUCCUUGGUGUAGUCCCCAAGUCUAUUUUUUUUCUCUUCCUCAGGUGCUGAUCAGGAGCCAGUUAUAUCAAGUAAUAAUGCGAGACAUUGCAAAUUGCAGGUCUCAUUUGAUAGCUUAUUUAAAUACAACAUUAAAUCUCUUAUACUUGUAGCUUAUCAUGUAAAGUUCAUUUCAUCACCCAUUGCCAUUGGUUGCCCAAUACAGUCAGCUUUGAAUUAAAAAAAAAAAAUGUGUCAUUGAGAGAAGAGCAUAUCAUUUUAUUAGAGUAAUUUCUCUCAACUGUUUUCUCCUAUAUAGUCUAUUUAAUAAACAAAAACAUUGUCAAG